AACGUAGGAGGCUAGCGUUAUCCGGAUUUACUGGGCGUAAAGCGCAUGCAGGCGGCUUGGCAAGUUGGGCGUGAAAUCUCUCGGCUUAACCGGGAGGGGUCGUUCAAAACUGCCGGGCUUGGGUGCAGGAGAGGAAAGCGGAAUUUCCAGUGUAGCGGUAAUAUGCGCAGAUAUUGGAAAGAACACCAGUGGCGAAGGCGGCUUUCUGGCCUGUAACCGACGCUAAGAUGCGAAAGCUAGGGGAGCGAAC
rnacentral:rRNA from 1 species